rnacentral:rRNA from 1 species
ACGAACGCUGGCGGCGUGCCUAACACAUGCAAGUCGAGCGGAGACAGUGAGUAGCUUGCUAUGAACUGUUUUAGCGGCGGACGGGUGAGUAACGCGUGAGCAACCUUUCCCAGACAGGGGAAUAACACACCGAAAGGUGUACUAAUACCGCAUAAGACCACGGGAUCACAUGGUUCUGGGGUAAAAGAUUUAUCGGUUUGGGGUGGGCUCGCGUCCGAUUAGGUAGUUGGUGAGGUAACGGCCCACCAAGCCGACGAUCGGUAGCCGACCUGAGAGGGUGAUCGGCCACAUUGGGACUGAGACACGGCCCAAACUCCUACGGGAGGCAGCAGUGGGGAAUAUUGGGCAAUGGGGGGAACCCUGACCCAGCAACGCCGCGUGGAGGAAGAAGGUUUUCGGAUCGUAAACUCCUGUCCUUGGAGACGAGUAGAAGACGGUAUCCAAGGAGGAAGCCCCGGCUAACUACGUGCCAGCAGCCGCGGUAAUACGUAGGGGGCAAGCGUUGUCCGGAAUAAUUGGGCGUAAAGGGCGCGUAGGCGGCUCGGUAAGUCUGGAGUGAAAGUCCUGCUUUUAAGGUGGGAAUUGCUUUGGAUACUGUCGAGCUUGAGUGCAGGAGAGGUUAGUGGAAUUCCCAGUGUAGCGGUGAAAUGCGUAGAGAUUGGGAGGAACACCAGUGGCGAAGGCGACUAACUGGACUGUAACUGACGCUGAGGCGCGAAAGUGUGGGGAGCAAACAGGAUUAGAUACCCUGGUAGUCCACGCAGUAAACGAUGAAUACUAACUGUUUGCGAUACAAUGUAAGCGGUACAGCGAAAGCGUUAAGUAUUCCACCUGGGGAGUACGUUCGCAAGAAUGAAACUCAAAGGAAUUGACGGGGACCCGCACAAGCGGUGGAGCAUGUGGUUUAAUUCGACGCAACGCGAAGAACCUUACCAGGUCUUGACAUCCACUUAAACUUACAGAGAUGUAAGGUGUGCUUGCACAAAGUGAGACAGGUGGUGCAUGGUUGUCGUCAGCUCGUGUCGUGAGAUGUUGGGUUAAGUCCCGCAACGAGCGCAACCCUUAUCUUCAGUUACUAACGCGUGAGGGUGAGGACUCUGAAGAGACUGCCGGGGACAACUCGGAGGAAGGUGGGGACGACGUCAAAUCAUCAUGCCCCUUAUGACUUGGGCUACACACGUGCUACAAUGGCCACGACAGAGAGAAGCGAAAUCGCAAGGUAGAGCGGAACUCAAAAAAGUGGUCCCAGUUCGGAUUGUGGGCUGCAACCCGCCCACAUGAAGUCGGAGUUGCUAGUAAUCGCGGAUCAGCAUGCCGCGGUGAAUACGUUCCCGGGCCUUGUACACACCGCCCGUCACACCAUGGGAGUUGGGAGUGCCCAAAGCCGGUGAGGCAACCGCAAGGAGCCAGCCGUCUAAGGCAAGACCAAUGACUGGGGUG